AUCUUAAACACUUAGCAAAGACAGUCAAAGCCAAAGCACAGCUAUUCCUGGACAUUUUAAACAAUAAUAAUAAUAGUUAAAUGUAACUUCCAUAAGUAAGUAAACUGGAGGCUACAAAAGAGAUUCUCAGACAGGAAUGCCUGAUAACUAUCAAAAGGAACUGCCAGAGUAGUUUUUAGUUUAAGGCCCACAGAUAUUCCUAACCUACACAGGUAGGCUUGGUGUUUGCUAGUAUGGUUAUCCAGCCCUAAGUAACAGAAUUAAAAAUUUCUCUAUUAGACACAGAGGUCAUAGUAGUAAAAGGAUUUUGCUAGAUCAGAUGACAUUAAAUUAUUAGACUAUAUCUUAAGGGAAAGGACAUCUGUAAACCUAAAUGUUAAAUGUUGUGUUUACAUCCCUGACAUUUCUGGCAAUGUGACAAAUACCCUUAAAAGAUUUACAUGCUCAGAUAGAAGCCAUGUCCUCAGCAACUCUGUCAUGGAAACAAUAUCUUAGCUCCUGGUUCUUGGUACUUCCUGGUGGAAAACAUUGUUAGUCUUUGUCUUUACCAUUAUACUCAUUGGCAUAUUCCUGUGCUAUGGGAUUUAUUGCUGCAUCAAUCUGGUUCCAGAACUAAUGAAUUCUUGUUUCUCUUAUAGACCACCCAUCACUCAAAUGGCCCUCCAGCCUAUUACUUCUCAAUCGGACUUUUUAUCAUGGACCACUCGAUAGACCUGGUUUUUAAAGGAGGACUCCAAACUGCUUGCCCCACACCGUCCCUUCUCAGCCUGAAGAAGCCAGAAAGAUCUUCUUUGCCCCCCUUCCUUACAGCAGUAAGGAGUUUCCAAAUUAGAGGGGGGAAUGAAGCCAGAUUUAAAGUUAGGUAGUCAGUGUAGUUAGGUAACUCGGGGUCUAAUACCGAGUGAAAUCUAAAAUAGAGGCCAUGUUGAAAAUGAUUCCAGGAAACGCAGGACAACUCAUGGUAAUCAGACAGCAAUAUGCUCCACUGACAGAGAUGGAAAAUGAGACUCCCCAAUAAUUAUGAUUCAUUACUUUUAAGAUUAAAAGUAGUCAGAAAAAGUGGGAAAUGAAAGGAUAAAAGAAACUGAAGUUAAAAUGUAAAGGACCAGGUAUUGUAAAGUUUCUAAACUGCACUCAGAACCUGAAAUUCCUGUGGCAGUUAAGACAAUUCCAGGAACUGCCCAUUAGAUAUGUGUCAAAAUCCCCCCUGACCACUUAGUUGUUUAACAACCUGGACCCUGUGCAGCUCGGCACGUAGGCACCUCAGGGCCCAAACCAAUCAGCUUGAAUGUAUCCCCCUCCUUAGGACUGACCUAUCACUCUCGCCCGACCUGUUCCUGCCAAUGAAUUUGCUAAUCAUGUUUGAGAGUUUUUGUUUGAUUUUCCCCGUGCCUCAUGAUGAUUUGCUCUGAUGUAUGCAAAGCCCCCGCCCUCCCCAAAAAGUGUACUUAAGCACUGCUCAGCCCCUGCUCGGGGCUCUGGGCUGCUUUCCCUUCUUGAGUGGGCACAGAGCCCCAGUGCGCUGGAUCCUUAAUAAACC
rnacentral:lncRNA from 1 species